UGCGCUCCCUCCGGUCCGGAGGCUGCGGGCCCCGCUCGGGCGCCGUCUCCCCACCCGCCCGCCCCAUGGCUUCGCCGGAGGACCCUCUGCGCGCAGGUCACAUGGCCGAGGAGCCCGUGGAAGACACGGACCCCAGCACUCUGUCCUUCCACGUGUCAGACAAAUAUCCGAUUCAAGAUACGGGACUCCCUAAAGUUGAAGAGUGUGAUCCAGUCCCUUCCAACGGCCCAACAAAUUCUGAUGUGCACCAUCAGGUAAGGAGAA